GCACGCAGGCGGUUUGUUAAGUCAGAUGUGAAAUCCCCGGGCUCAACCUGGGAACUGCAUCUGAUACUGGCAAGCUUGAGUCUCGUACGAAGACUGACGCUCAGGUGCGUCGACUUGGAGGUUGUGCUUCGUGGCUUCCGGAGCUAACGCGUUAAGUCGAC
rnacentral:rRNA from 1 species